rnacentral:lncRNA from 1 species
AGGGUUCGCAACAUAUAAUGUUAUCUUGUUUAUGAAGGCUUGGAGUUCGAGCAUAGGAGUGGCGCGGAGGCUUCGCAUUCGAUAAAGGAGUGGCGUGGAGCCUUCAAAGUCACAUUUUGUGUACACAAGAAGAAGAACGAAUGGAGAGUCGUAAACGGAAAAACGAAAAAUGGAAAAGGGAGAUAAAGGAGAUGACAACGCUCGCGUUAAGGAGAAGAGUGGAGGCUAUGGAGAUGGAGAAGAAUAGACAAAAAAGAAGAAGAUGGCUAUGGCGUUCCCGAUGAAGGCUUUCGCGAUAUCAUAAAAUUUUCCGGUGAAGACGUAUGUAUAGCUGCGUCAAAAUGGGUUUAAAGCAAUUGUUGCAAGCAAAGAUAAUGCAAAGUAAUGGUU